rnacentral:rRNA from 1 species
AGCUCCAAUAGCGUAUAUUAAAGUUGUUGCAGUUAAAAAGCUCGUAGUCGGAUUUUGGCAUCACGCCGUACUGUCUGCCGAUUGGUAUGCACGGUUUGGCGGGUGCUUCCUUCCGGAGGCUCGUUCCCUCCUUAACUGAAGGGUUCGUUGGUUCCGGUUCUUUUACUUUGAGAAAAUUAGAGUGUUCAAAGCAGGCCUAUGCUCUGAAUAGGUUAGCAUGGAAUAAUAGAAUAGGACUUUGGUUCUAUUUUGUUGGUUUCUAGGACCGAAGUAAUGAUUAAUAGGGACAGUUGGGGGCAUUCAUAUUCCAUUGUCAGAGGUGAAAUUCUUGGAUUAACGGAAGAUGAACUUCUGCGAAAGCAUCUGCCAAGGAUGUUUUCAUUG